rnacentral:lncRNA from 1 species
CGCUUACAGAAGCAUGUAUGGAGAGGAUCUCUUGCGAAGACUGGAGAAAGAGCUCCACGGGAAUCUCGAGGUGAGUUUAGUUUCUCAAGAACUUCGUGUGCGAAUAUUAAAAUCUAUGUUCCAGCAAGCAGUGCUGCUGUGGAUGAUGGAGCCAGCUGAAAGGGACGCGGUGUUAAUCAGAGAUGCGAUGAAAGGACUGGGUACCAAAGAUAAGACGCUGAUCGAGAUCAUCUGCUCGAGAACUCCCUCGCAGCUCUACUACAUACGCCAGGCAUAUCAAACCAAGUAUCAUCGCUCCCUGGACAAAGACAUUCAAUCAGACACAAGUGGUGACUAUAGAAAGGUGAGAAGAAUACGAAAAUCUCUUACCUCCAUCGAUCAAACGAGUUUUCACGAGCUUGUUCUUUGUCUUUGAUUUUGCAGUUGCUCCUGGCCUUUGCGAGUGGACAGCGGCCAG